rfam:Nematostella vectensis strain CH2 x CH6 NEMVEscaffold_4894_Cont48735, whole genome shotgun sequence.
ACAACGGCUCUUUUAGGAGCCACCACAUGCAACGAAAGUCAUGAUCG